GACGAACGCUGGCGGCGUGCUUAACACAUGCAAGUCGAACGAUGAAGCCGGAGCUUGCUCUGGUGAAUUAGUGGCGAACGGGUGAGUAACACGUGAGUAACCUGCCCUUGACUCUGGGAUAACUGCGGGAAACUGUAGCUAAUACCGGAUACGACCCUCGGAGGCAUCUCCUGGGGGUGGAAAGAAUUUCGGUCAAGGAUGGACUCGCGGCCUAUCAGCUAGUCGGUGAGGUAAAGGCUCACCAAGGCGACGACGGGUAGCCGGCCUGAGAGGGUGAACGGCCACAAGGUGACAGACACAGGGCCGAGACUCCAAGGGGGGGAAGGAGAGGGGGAUAUUGCUCAAUGGGCGGAAGCCUGAUGCAGCAACGCCGCGUGAGGGAUGACCGCCUUCGGGUUGGAAACCUCUUGCAGCACCGACGAAGCGCAAGUGACGGUGGGUGCAGAAGAAGGACCGGCCAACUACGUGCAAGCCGCCGCAGUAA
rnacentral:rRNA from 1 species